UGAUCUAGCAUUAUUUCUACUAUAUAUUUAAUCUAAGAACACCAAAAAUAGUUCCCUUUUACUGAUGCCCUAAUAAAAUCAGUUCUUUUCUGCCGCCUAUGUGACACGUAAUUAUCUUCUCUUCAAUGCUCGAUUAUCAAAUAUAAUAUUCUGAAACCCAGAAAGAAAAAAUCACGGUUCUAGCACCGGAUCUUCAGUGGCUGCUCACCGCCGGAUUCACGGGAAUAAAUUGUCUUCUUUGCUACAUCAUCUUCUCCAAUUUGAGAUGGAUGAUCAAGUACUUCGUUUGUUGUAUAUUUCUCUCUGGUCUUGCUGCCCAAUUCUGUAAAAAACGAAAUCCUUUUUUUUGGUGUUUAUGAGAUUUUUGUCUAAAAUUAUGUUGA